rnacentral:rRNA from 1 species
CACGGGGGGAGCAAGCGUUGUUCGGAAUCACUGGGCGUAAAGGGCGUGUAGGCGGUCAGGUAAGUGGGAUGUGAAAUGCCCCGGCUCACCCGGGGACCGGCAUCCCAUACUGCUUGGCUUGAGUACGGGAGAGGAUGUGGGAAUUCCUGGUGUAGCGGUGAAAUGCGUAGAUAUCAGGAGGAACACCGGUGGCGAAGGCGGCUUCCUGGACCGACACUGACGCUGAGGCGCGAAAGCUAGGGGAGCAAACGGG